rnacentral:rRNA from 1 species
GAUGAACGCCGGCGGCGUGCCUAAUACAUGCAAGUCGAGCGAACAGACGAGGAGCUUGCUCCUCUGACGUUAGCGGCGGACGGGUGAGUAACACGUGGAUAACCUACCUAUAAGACUGGGAUAACUUCGGGAAACCGGAGCUAAUACCGGAUAAUAUAUUGAACCGCAUGGUUCAAUAGUGAAAGACGGUUUUGCUGUCACUUAUAGAUGGAUCCGCGCCGCAUUAGCUAGUUGGUAAGGUAACAGCUUACCAAGGCAACGAUGCGUAGCCGACCUGAGAGGGUGAUCGGCCACACUGGAACUGAGACACGGUCCAGACUCCUACGGGAGGCAGCAGUAGGGAAUCUUCCGCAAUGGGCGAAAGCCUGACGGAGCAACGCCGCGUGAGUGAUGAAGGUCUUCGGAUCGUAAAACUCUGUUAUUAGGGAAGAACAAAUGUGUAAGUAACUAUGCACGUCUUGACGGUACCUAAUCAGAAAGCCACGGCUAACUACGUG